GGAUCCUUUAUGACCGUACCAAGAACCGACACAGGUGCCCCUAGGCAAGAAACCUAAGGCGUGUCGGGUACACACUAAGCGAGGGAACUCGGCAAAUUAGCCCCGUAACUUUGGGAUAAGGGGUGCCUGCGGUUUUGACUUCGGUUGGAACAGCAGGUCGCAGUGGCAAAGGGGUUUCGACUGUUUAAUAAAAACAUAGCAAACCGCAAGCCCGAAAGGGUGUGAACGGUUUGUGAAUCCUGUCCAGUACAGGUACCUGAAGCCCGGUUUCAACCGGUUUAAGGGCCUGCAAACGACGGGAGUAACUCUGACUCUCUUAAGGUAGCCAAAUGCCUUGUCGGGUAAGUUCCGACGCGCAUGAAUGGAACAACGAGAACCCCACUGUCCCCGCUUAGUACCCGGUGAACCCACUUAAAGUGGACGAACAGUCCACUGACUCCCAGCGGGAAAAGAAGACCCCGUGGAGUUUUACUGCAGCCUGUCGCUGAGAUAUGGCUGUGGAUGCAGAGCGUAGGCGGGAGCCGUUAUACUUCAGUCUCUCCGGGGACUGGGGAAGGCAACAAUGGAACACCGCCCUUUCGCAUCCGUGUCUCUUACCGGCGCAAUUGCGUUGGGACAACGAUUGGUGGGCAGUUCGGCUGGGGCGGCACCCCCUCGAAAAAAUAUCAAGGGGGCCCUAAGGUCAGCUCAGGCGGGACAGAAACCCGCCGCAGAGUGCAAAGGUAAAAGCUGGCCUGACUGGAUCCUCCACAGCAAGGGAUCCAGAGGCGAAAGCCUGGCUUAGCGAACAUCCAAAUCCUCGUUGGUGGGGGUUGGAUAUGACAGAAAAAUUACCCCGGGGAUAACAGGCUUGUCGCGGGCGAGAGUUCACAUCGACCCCGCGGCUUGGUACCUCGAUGUCGGCUCUUCCUAUCCUGGUCCUGCAUAAGGGGCCAAGGGUGAGGCUGCUCGCCUAUUAAAAGGGAACGUGAGCUGGGUUUAGACCGUCGUGAGACAGGUCGGACUUUAUCUGCUGGGAGUGUUGGUUACCUGAAGGGAAAGGGUUCCCAGUACGAGAGGAACGGAACGUUGUAGCCUCUAGUUUACCGGUUGUCUGACAGGGCACUGCCGGGCAGCCACGCUGUCGCGGAUAAGAGCUGAAAGCAUCUAAGCUCGAAGCCGCUCCUGAAACUAGGUAACCAUUCCCUGACACGAGACCUUGGUAACAAGGCCUCAGUCAUGGACGAGAGCUCCCAUAGAACUGUCUCUUAUACACAUCUGACGCUGCCGACGAAGAGGAUAGUGUAGAUCUC
rnacentral:rRNA from 1 species